rnacentral:rRNA from 1 species
UACGGGGGGGGCAAGCGUUGUUCGGAAUUACUGGGCGUAAAGGGCUCGUAGGCGGCCAACUAAGUCAGACGUGAAAUCCCCAGGCUCAACCUGGGAACUGCGUCUGAUACUGGAUGGCUUGAAUCCGGGAGAGGGAUGCAGAAUUCCAGGUGUAGCGGUGAAAUGCGUAGAUAUCGUGAGGAAGACCAGUGGCGAAGGCGGAUCUCUGGACAGUUCCUGACGCUGAGGCGCGAAGGCCAGGGGAGCAAACGGG